GGCGGUUCUUGGGUGACGCACCCUAGAAUCAGGCUCCCUCCUUUCUGGUUCCUGGUGUGUCACCCAAGAACCACU
rfam:Myotis davidii contig225565, whole genome shotgun sequence.